UUAAGUGGCGGCCGAAACUGAGAUAAACGAGAUAAGAAAAAACAGAGCGCAUCUGUUUCUCUCUCUCUUUUUAAAUCUUCUCUAAAAUGCAAUAAGAAGAUCAAAAUAAAGACAUAGAAGCUACGCAGCAAAGUAGACUUAAGCCGACUUAUUUUCAUUCCGCAUGUAAAUGAACCGCUUGAUAUUUCUAACUGUUCAUAGCAGCAGCUGUCCUGCUUCCUUUCAAUUAAAUGUCAAAUGAGUCAAAGUACAUACAUAUGUGAAUAUGUACGUGUAUAAGCAAAUUUUCCCAUAGACUAGACAUCGACAUCGCAUCGUCGCAAAAAGCGACGAUUUGCAAAUGAAUUGCAAAGUAUUUGCACGUCCCAGAAGCACAAGAACAAAUGACAUUAAGUACGUACGUACGAUGGAGGUGCGAUUUCUUCAGUUUCACUUUCGUUUUUAGUAUACAUAGGUAUGUACAAAUAUAUGUACAUAUGUAUCUAUUAUACUAUAUGGAGAAUAUUAUUUCCGCUGGGGAAACGCACAAUUUCCAUCCAACCCAAGCAACUGCUGGAUCAUCCUCCCCUGUUUCAUCUUUCAAUAUGGAAAAAGCAUACAAUCAACGGUCUGCAAUGAAAGUAAAUGUAUGCCGAAAAUGAAGAAGGAAUGUACAGAUGUUCGGAGGAAUAAAAGGAGAAGAAAUGCGAAGCAAAAAAUCGAAAUGUAGGCGUGUCUCCCCAUUGCCGUGUUAACAGCACAUUGACUUGCCUGUGAAAUGAAAUUUAUUACAGGGGGCUGGGCGAGAAAAAAAUAAACAUUCCAUACAGUUACA